UUAAAAGUGUUUGUAUGGUUUACA
rnacentral:siRNA from 1 species